AAAUAAUCAAAGGAAAAUGGCGACCGGGUAGGUCUGGUUGCUAUUGCAACCUUGUCAAAAGGUUGUUACCGUCAAUUUCCUCCUAUUUAAUUCCAGAAAUGGUCAGCAGGCCACAGUCAAGUAAGGCCGUGCUGAUGAUGUCUCUGAUCUGGAAGUAUUAUGCUGACCCAGUGACGGUUCUGCCCAGUAAGUGGCUUUUCUCCUCUAGAGCGAAUGGUGGCCUUCCCAUCUGGAGUAGCAGAUGGUGUUGGAAUCCCAUGGCGGCUCGUUGUUUGUAACAAGGUAGUGGCUAUAAUGAUCCAAGCAGUGGCUUGACAGCCUGAACUUUACUGUCUACGCUGUGAGACCAAAUUAUGCAAUUGUAUACUCUGGGCCUUGAUAUUUUGUUCAUUUUUUUGUUGAAUGUUUUUGAGAAACUGCACUGUUACAUUUUGAUAAAUCAUCAGGAUUGUUUUGUAGCAUUUUCUUUCUUUACCAAUCCAUUCCUUGUCAUGAAACUACAUCAGACUUCUCAAAGAUGUCUUAUGAACUAAGUCUGGCUUAAUAAUGGUUACAAUUUGUUCCUUUUCUAAAUUAUUCAAGCCAUUUCACUCUUUUACCUACAUGCAACAGUGUUCUGCUGUGCAUCUUUGUUUGUCGGUUGCCUACUUUAUAACCCUCUUCCAGAAUUAUUAUUAUUUUGACAUAUCAAUAAAAACCUGCAAA